rfam:Triticum aestivum genome assembly, contig: Triticum_aestivum_CS42_TGACv1_scaffold_000985_1AL
UAGUUACUCCCUCCGUCCCAAAUUUCUUGUCUUAAAUUUGUCUAAAUACGGAUGUAUCUAGUUACGUUUUAGUGUUAGAUACAUCUGUAUCGAGACAAAUGUAAGACAAGAAUUUUAGAACGGAGGGAGUAGUAG